rnacentral:tRNA from 1 species
AAAAAAAUUUUUAAUGAAAAUUUGAUUUUUUUAGUAAUUUUAUUAUUUUUUUG